rnacentral:rRNA from 1 species
AUUGAACGCUAGCGGGAUGCUUAACACAUGCAAGUCGAACGAGUGGCGGACGGGUGAGUAAUAUCUCGGAACGUGCCCCGUGGCGGGGGAUAACUACUCGAAAGAGUGGCUAAUACCGCAUACUAUCGGAGGGGCCGAUAUGGGAUUAGCUAGUUGGUGGGGUAAAGGCUCACCAAGGCAACGAUCCGUAGCUGGUUUGAGAGGAGGACCAGCCACACUGGGACUGAGACACGGCCCAGACUCCUACGGGAGGCAGCAGUGGGGAAUUUUGGACAAGGGGCGAAACCCUGAUCCAGCCAUCCCGCGUGUAUGAGAAGGCCUUCGGGUUGUAAAGUACUUUUGGCAGAGAAGCGGUAUCUGCAGAAUAAGCACCGGCUAACUACGUGCCAGCAGCCGCGGUAAUUC